rnacentral:tRNA from 1 species
GCCCGGAUGGUGGAAUCGGUAGACACAAGGGAUUUAAAAUCCCUCGGCGUUGCGCUGUGCGGGUUCAAGUCCCGCUCCGGGUACCA